rnacentral:misc_RNA from 1 species
GUUCCUGUCUCUUAAUUAAUAACUGUACUUAGAAACGCCAUUGUCCACAGCAAACUAGUCUUAGUAUAAAAUCUAUUUAACCAAUAUAUCUAAACAUCAUUAAGCACAUAUCAAAACAGAAGCAGUUUCAGUAUUUUAGACAUGCACCAACCCUAGCAUUGCUAUGGAUUGACCUAUUGUAACAUGAAUUUGAAGCAUUUCUAAUAAAAGUUAAAGAUCACAAAAACCAAUUCUUGUCAUGCAAUGUCUAAAAGCAACUGCAGUUUAAAAAUUUCAAAUAUUUU